rnacentral:rRNA from 1 species
CCUAUCAGCUUGUUGGUGAGGUAACGGCUCACCAAGGCAACGACGGGUAGCGGGACUGAGAGGUUGGCCCGCCGCAUCGGGACUGAGACACUGCCCGGACCUCCACGGAGGGCUGCAGUAACGAAUAUUGGGCAAUGGGCGAAAGCCUGACCCAGCAAUGCCGCGUGCAGGAGGAAGCCCCUCGGGGUGUAAACUGCUGUCAGGGGGAAGAAAGUAUGCUUCGGCAUAUUGAUCUACCCCAGAGGAAGUCACGGCUAACUUCGUGCCAGCAGCCGCGGUAAUACGAAGGUGGCGAGCGUUAUUCGGAUUUACUGGGCUUAAAGGGUCCGCAGGCGGAACAGUAUGUGCUUUGUGAAAUCCCCCGGCUUAACCGAGGAAUUGCUUGGCAAACUGCUGUUCUUGAGGCAAGUAGGGGUGCAUGGAGCUCUUGGUGGAGCGGUGGAAUGCGUAGAUAUCAAGAGGAACGCCAGAGGUGAAGACGGUGCACUAGGCUUGUCCUGACGCUGAGGGACGAAAGCGUGGGGAGCAAACGGGAUUAGAUACCCCGGUAGUCCACGCCGUAAACGAUGUCUACUAGGUCGUGGUUGUUCUGACACAUUCACGGGCGAAGCAAAAGUGAUUAGUAGACCGCCUGGGGAGUACGGCCGCAAGGUUAAAACUCAAAGGAAUUGACGGGGGCUCACACAAGCGGUGGAGCAUAUGGAUUAAUUCGAAGCAACGCGCAGAACCUUACCUGGGUUUGACAUGCUUGGAUGCCUGCCUGGAAACAGGUUAGGCUGCCUUCGGGUGAAACUUGCACAGGUGCUGCAUGGCUGUCGUCAGCUCGUGUCGUGAGAUGUCGGGUUAAGUCCUUUAACGAGCGAAACCCUUGCCGUUAGUUGCCAGCGGGUAAUGCCGGGGACUCUAACGGGACUGCCGGUGUCAAACCGGAGGAAGGUGGGGAUGACGUCAAGUCCUCAUGGCCUUUAUGCCCAGGGCUUCACACGUGCUACAAUGGUAACAACAGAGCGAUGCGAUACCGCGAGGUGGAGCAAAUCGCAAAUAUGUUGCCUCAGUCCGGAUUGUAGGCUGACAAUUCGCCUACAUGAAGUUGAAUCGCUAGAAUCGCGUAUCAGC